rnacentral:lncRNA from 1 species
AAAAACAUCACAACACAACUGGCACAAAACACCCACAUAUGACAAGGAAGUGCCAGCAUUGUAUAUUAACUUCAAAUACAAAAAUAACAAAAUAUCUAUAUAUUAACUUCCAAGGAAUAAAACACAAACAGAAAUGAAAAGGUAAGCAUUCCUAGAAGCUACAGGCAACUAGAUACAGAAAUGAAAAGGUUCCCAUAUUUCUUUUAGUUCUUCUGAAACUUUUCCACAUAUGCUUGCAACAAAAUAAGUAAUGUAAAGGGGUCAGCAAACUAGGCAAGAGGAAUCAAUUUCAUAUCCUAAACAUGCUCAACAAGCCAACUUGAUUUGUCUCAUUAUAUUAUCUGCAAAAGUUAGCUCACUCAAAAGAUUGAUCUUAAUUAUCUCUGGAUUAUUCAUAUUCCAUAAUUUCAAGUCACAUUUAUAAAUAAUAAAUUUUUGUAUUUACCGAGUGGACAAAUCAAGCUUGAGAGGCUGUUCUGGUUUCACAACAUUUCCUAAAAUUGUAUGAGUGAGAUUAGAUUACCAAUGAUUGCUCUCAAAUUUCAUGCAGUAGUAUAAAACUAUAAAAAGAAAAAUCAAUUUCAUCUCGUUUACUUUUAAUUGGAAAAGUCAUAUGGUUCCACACAAAGGAGUAAAGAAGAUUCUGUCAAAAGC